rnacentral:rRNA from 1 species
AUUGAACGCUGGCGGCAGGCUUAACACAUGCAAGUCGAGCGGAGAUGAGGUGCUUGCACCUUAUCUUAGCGGCGGACGGGUGAGUAAUGCUUAGGAAUCUGCCUAUUAGUGGGGGACAACAUUCCGAAAGGAAUGCUAAUACCGCAUACGUCCUACGGGAGAAAGCAGGGGAUCUUCGGACCUUGCGCUAAUAGAUGAGUCUAAGUCGGAUUAGCUAGUUGGUGGGGUAAAGGCCUACCAAGGCGACGAUCUGUAGCGGGUCAGAGAGGAUGUUCCGCCACACUGGGACUGAGACACGGCCCAGACUCCUACGGGAGGCAGCAGUGGGGAAUAUUGGACAAUGGGGGGAACCCUGAUCCAGCCAUGCCGCGUGUGUGAAGAAGGCCUUAUGGUUGUAAAGCACUUUAAGCGAGGAGGAGGCUACUGAGACUAAUACUCUUGGAUAGUGGACGUUACUCGCAGAAUAAGCACCGGCUAACUCUGUGCCAGCCGCCGCCGUAAGAC